AAGAAACUGAGAUAUUCGUUUCAAAAUCAGUGCUAAGUCCACUAUUGCUUGUAAGCUCCUUUCUCUUUGAGCUAAGAUCAAGCUCUUUGUUGCAACAUUUACAUGUGCAAACUAUGAACUCCACAACUUGUUCCUAUUAUCGCUUGGAACCUUAGUGUCAACUAGUAUUUUUAGGCCAUUGAUACAAAUUCAUUCAUAAUGACCAUCUAGAAGUUAACUAU
rnacentral:misc_RNA from 1 species